GUGAGGAAUAUUGGUCAAUGGGCGGGAGCCUGAACCAGCCAAGUCGCGUGAAGGAAGAAGGAUCUAUGGUUCGUAAACUUCUUUUGCAGGGGAAUAAAGUGCAGGACGUGUCCUGUUUUGUAUGUACCCUGAGAAUAAGGAUUGGCUAACUCCGUGCCAGCAGCCGCGGUAAUACGGAGGAUCCGAGCGUUAUCCGGAUUUAUUGGGUUUAAAGGGUGCGUAGGUGGUUUGAUAAGUCAGCGGUGAAAGUUUGCAGCUUAACUGUAAAAAUGCCGUUGAAACUGUCGGACUUGAGUGUAAAUGAGGUAGGCGGAAUGCGUGGUGUAGCGGUGAAAUGCAUAGAUAUCACGCAGAACUCCGAUUGCGAAGGCAGCUUACUAAGCUACAACUGACACUGAAGCACGAAAGCGUGGGGAUCAAACAGGAUUAGAAACCCUAGUAGUCC
rnacentral:rRNA from 1 species